UACAGAGGUCCCAAGCGUUGUUCGGAUUCACUGGGCGUAAAGGGUGCGUAGGUGGUGAGGUAAGUCGGAUGUGAAAGCUCGGAGCUCAACUCCGAAAUGGCAUUGGAAACUACCUUGCUCGAGGGUUGGAGGGGGGACUGGAAUACUUGGUGUAGCAGUGAAAUGCGUAGAUAUCAAGUGGAACACCAGUGGCGAAGGCGAGUCCCUGGACAACUCCUGACACUGAGGCACGAAAGCGUGGGGAGCAAACCGG
rnacentral:rRNA from 1 species